rnacentral:rRNA from 1 species
ACGCUCGACACCUACGGGAGGCAGCAGUCGGGAAUAUUGCGCAAUGGAGGAAACUCUGACGCAGUGACGCCGCGUGCAGGAAGAAGGUUUUCGGAUUGUAAACUGCUUUAGACAGGGAAGAAAGAAAUGACAGUACCUGUAGAAUAAGCUCCGGCUAACUACGUGCCACAGCCGCGGUAAUCUGAGCGGGCUGGCAAGGC